GCCAGCCCGCUCAGAACUUAAAGGAAUUGACGGGACCCGCACAAGCGGUGGAUGAUGUGGUUUAAUUCGAUGCAACGCGAAAAACCUUACCCACCUUUGACAUGUACGGAACUGCCAGAGAUGGCUUGGUGCUCGAAAGAGAGCCGUAACACAGGUGCUGCAUGGCUGUCGUCAGCUCGUGUCGUGAGAUGUUGGGUUAAGUCCCGCAACGAGCGCAACCCUUGUCAUUAGUUGCUACAUUCAGUUGGGCACUCUAAUGAGACUGCCGGUGACAAGCCGGAGGAAGGUGGGGAUGACGUCAAGUCCUCAUGGCCCUUAUAGGUGGGGCUACACACGUCAUACAAUGGCCGGUACAAAGGGACGCCAACCCGCGAGGGGGAGCCAAUCCAAUAAAACCGAUCGUAGUCCGGAUCGCAGUCUGCAACUCGACUGCGUGAAGUCGGAAUCGCUAGUAAUCGUGAAUCAGAAUGUCACGGUGAAUACGUUCCCGGGCCUU
rnacentral:rRNA from 1 species